CAUCCCCCACAGACACCCCCAAUCCGUCCCCACAUACCUCAUUCCUACAUCCCUCCCAAAACAUCCUCUGUCCCCCCACAGACACCCCUAGACCCCACACACCGUCCCUAGACACCUCAUUCCUACACCCCCAGAGACCCCUGCAACAUCCCCCAGAUACCCCCACAACAGCCCCCAACACCAUCCCCAGACACCUCAUUCCUACACCUCCACAACAUCUCCCAACUCCACACCCCCACAACAUCCCCCAGCCCCUCAACAGACACCUCCAGCACCACAACCCCCACACCAUCCCCAGACCCCUCAUUCCUAUACCCCCGACACCCCCUCAAUAUCCCCUGCCCCCCACAGACACCCCCUAUACCUUCCAGUCACCCCCAACACCACACCCCCUACACCAUCCCCAGACACUUCACUCCUAUACCCCCAGACACCCCCUACACACCCACAACAAUCUCCCAGACACCCACAACACCACACCCCCAACCCUAACUGAGUAUCACCUGAACCAGCUGGGCCACAGGAAGGCAGCGGGCACACAACUACAAUUACACCUUCAGUCUGCAUGGGGCUGCAGAAAAAAAAAGCCAGGCAACUUCUCUGAAUCCCAGGCAGAGAGGAGCAGCAGCAGCAGCAACACCUUUUUCAGCUGAUUCUGUGUGUUAAUAUCCUAACCCACUGCUGUCCAAGGGGCAUGUAACUGUCUGCUGUAGAGACCAAGGCCGGGAAGCAUAGUACUGGCAGGAAAUCAAGAUGCUUUCAUAUCCAACCAUUUCCCUUCCCCCAGCCUUGUUUCUUUCUCUCUGUUCAAUGUAUUAUGUUUUGACAGUAUCCCUUUGGACUUUUCAUAAAC